UACGAAGGGGGGCUAGCGUUGCUCGGAUUGACUGGGCGUAAAGGGCGCGUAGGCGGUUCGUACAGUCAGACGUGAAAUUCCUGGGCUCAACCUGGGGGCUGCGUUUGAUACGUGCGGACUUGAGUGCGGAAGAGGGGUCGUGGAAUUCCCAGUGUAGAGGUGAAAUUCGUAGAUAUUGGGAAGAACACCGGUGGCGAAGGCGGCGACCUGGUCCGAUACUGACGCUGAGGCGCGAAAGCUCGGGGAGCGAACGGG
rnacentral:rRNA from 1 species